AAAUCGCGACCUUUGAAAGCAAAACACUGCAGCAUCUUGGCAGCUCUGAAUUGGGAAGGGAUGAAGGAGGCUGUGCCUCCGGGUUGCACGAAGAGUCCGAGUCAUUUCUCAGAAGGUUUUGAUAGGUGGGCCUUAGAGGAGACGCCGCCGUCUUGCUCUGUCACCCAGGCUGGAGUGCAGUGGUACAAUCUUAGCUCUCUGCAGCCUUGACCUCCUGGCCUCAAGUGAUCCCCCUGCCUCGGCCUCCCAAAGUGCCAGGAUUACAGGCAUGAGGCCCUGUACCUGGCUAGAACUGCAUAUAAUUUUAUAGCUAAAUAGAGCUGUGGGGAAUCCAUCCUUCCUGAGGAGAAGCAGACAGAGGCGGAGGAGCAGGCUGGUGUCAGGGCUGGUGAAGCCUGCUACCGCGCUGCUCUUGAGUGGCCUCAGGCUAAUGACCCUCCCUCCUUAAGCCACGCUGUCCACUUCUCUAAAGGGGGGGCCUAUGAGAACAUCCAAGUCACGGAAGGGAGUGGGGGUUAAAUGAGAUGUGCACAGGUGGCUAAUAUGUGCAUUUUUCUUCCAACCUUCCUACUGUGUGCCCUACCACCGCCACAAGCCAUCAACCAAAUAGAUACCUGUCACCGAAGACAGGGUUUCCUUAAUUUUUUAACAGCUCUGUUGAGAUAUAAUUUACAUACCAUAAAGUUCACCUGUUUAAAGUAUACAAUUCAGUGGUUUUUAGUAUUUCAUAGAGUUGUGAAACCAUCAUCCUAAUCUAAUUUUAGAACAUUUUGUCACCCCCAAAAGAAACCCUGUGCCCAUUAGCAGUCACUCCCUGUUCCCCUUUUCCCAGCCUCAGGCAACCACUAAGCUAUCUUCUGUCCCUGUAGAUUUGCCUUUUUGAACACCUUCAUAAAUAAAGUCGUAUGCUUUGUGGCCUG
rnacentral:lncRNA from 10 species